AGAGAGAGAGAUGCUGUUAUUUAUGCAUUCAUUGGUCACUGAUUGAUUCUUGCAUGUCCCCUGAUUAGGGAUCGAACCUGCCACCUGGGCGCAUCAGGAUGACGCUCCAACCAACUGCGCCUCCGGCCAGGCCAGGGCGUGUUUUCCAGGCCUCGUCUCCGUCAGCCCGCCUGACCUCGGGGGUGCCGGGAGCACCUCGCCAGGCAUGUCCCUGAUGCCCCCAGGAGCAAGGCCCUGCGCCCACCCGCUGGCUGGGGCUCCCCCAGGCAGGACGGACCUGCAGGGACAGUGUGGCCACAGAAGCUGCCGCCAAGUGCGGCGUCUGAUUGCCUGCUUAUGCUUUCCCGCUCUCCCCGCUCCACUGCGUCCUCCUCCUCACAGUUCACUGCGUGUGUCGGAAAGACGUGGCUUUCUAAUCUGCCCUUCCUUCUCCCAGACGCGCUGCUCCAGUGCCCAGAACUAUACAUUUAAAAUAUAUAUAUUUAUUUUAUUAUUGAUUUCAGAGAGGAAAGGAGAGGGAGAGA